rnacentral:rRNA from 1 species
UACGGAGGGGGCUAGCGUUGUUCGGAAUUACUGGGCGUAAAGCGCGCGUAGGCGGACCUGCAAGUCGGGGGUGAAAGCCCGAGGCUCAACCUCGGAACUGCCUUCGAUACUGCGGGUCUCGAGUCCGGGAGAGGUGAGUGGAAUUCCUAGUGUAGAGGUGAAAUUCGUAGAUAUUAGGAAGAACACCAGUGGCGAAGGCGGCUCACUGGCCCGGUACUGACGCUGAGGCACGAAAGCUAGGGGAGCAAACAGG